rnacentral:lncRNA from 1 species
AGAAAAGAGAGUCAACACACAGGCAUGCCAAAUUCAAAGUAUCCCAGAGCAGUCAAUUCCAUAUUCAACUGCACUAGGCAGACUGGUUCUUUUUAUGAAGCAUUUUCCAAUACUUCAUAGCAAUAAGUGUAACCUUAAAUAGGCAAGGUGUGGUGGUGCACACCUGUGGUCCCAGCUAUUCAGGAGGCUGAGGUGGGAGGACAGCUCAGGCAUGGGAGAAUCAAGGCUGCAGUAAGCUGUGAUCAUGCCACUGCACUCCAGCCUGGGAAGCAGAGUGAGACACUAACCCAAAAACAAAAACAAAAAACCCAAACCAAACCAUAAAAAAGUGCUAUCAAUUCAGUUGCAGCCAAAAAUUGAUCCAAGUUUCACAAAUCCCUAAAUGCAGGAUACAAAUUUC